rnacentral:rRNA from 1 species
UGGGCGUAAAGCGUACGUAGGCGGCGUGUUAAGCAAGAUGUGAAAGCCCCGGGCUCAACCUGGGAAUUGCAUUUUGAACUGGCAUGCUAGAGUCCUGAAGAGGGUGGUAGAAUUUCCAGUGUAGCGGUGAAAUGCGUAGAUAUUGGAAGGAAUACCGGUGGCGAAGGCGGCCACCUGGUCAGAGACUGACGCUGAGGUACGAAAGCGUGGGGAGCAACCAGGAUUAGAUACCCUGGUAGUCCACGCCGUAAACGAUGUCAACUAGUUGUUCGUGUCAUUAAGACGUGAGUAACGCAGCUAACGCACUAAGUUGACCGCCUGGGGUGUACGGCCGCAAGGUUAAAACUCAAAUGAAUUGACGGGGCCCGCACAAGCGGUGGAGCAUGUGGUUUAAUUCGAUGCAACGCGAAGAACCUUACCAUCCCUUGACAUCCAGUGAAUUUUCCAGAGAUGGAUUAGUGCCUUCGGGAACACUGAGACAGGUGCUGCAUGGCUGUCGUCAGCUCGUGUUGUGAGAUGUUGGGUUAAGUCCCGCAACGAGCGCAACCCUUAUCCUUAGUUGCCAGCACGUAAUGGUGGGAACUCUGGGGAGACUGCCGGUGAUAAACCGGAGGAAGGUGGGGACGACGUCAAGUCAUCAUGGCCCUUACGGGAUGGGCUACACACGUGCUACAAUGGCGCAUACAAAGGACAGCAAGCCAGCGAUGGUUAGCGAAUCUCAUAAAGUGCGUCGUAGUCCGGAUCGGAGUCUGCAACUCGACUCCGUGAAGUCGGA